rnacentral:rRNA from 1 species
UGCCAGCCGCCGCGGUAAUACGGGAGUGGCAAGCGUUAUCCGGAAUUAUUGGGCGUAAAGCGCAUGUAGGCGGAACAGAAAGUUAGAAGUGAAAUCCCUGGGCUCAACCUAGGAAUUGCUUUUAAAACUUCUGUUCUGGAAUUAAGGAGAGGAAAAUGGAAUAUCCAGUGUAGAGGUGAAAUUCGUAGAUAUUGGAAGGAACACCAGUGGCGAAGGCGAUUUUCUGGACUGAUAUUGACGCUGAGAUGCGAAGGCAUGGGUAGCGAACAGGAUUAGAUA